CUGAGCUGACCAUAGUCUGCCAGCUGACCGUAUCUGGGACCGUAUCCACCCGCAGACAUACAUCCAGGAAAAGCGAAAGCCAGCAGCAGACAUAAGGGCGGCCUUAUCCUCUUCGUUUGAUCUGAAGGAGCUAAGAUAACAUCAGAGGACAUUAAAUUGCUUUGCCUUCCCUUAAGAAGACCUUAACAAAGGAUGGAAAAGUCUACUUUAAUGCCACAUGCUCUCCAUUAACAAAGGAAGGGUAUGGGGAGCCUUGUUGGUUUCCGAACACAGUCAAGUGGAGUGGCAGAAACCUGUGGACUUUGGG